GUUGUUUCUUAUCCAUUUGGUAGCAUUAUGCUGCUCUUGGACCUCAAUCCACGUCUCUAAAACUUUGUAUCUGGCAUUUCUGUUUUAACAAACGGUAACAUCACCUUGUCCUAAGCCAAUCAGCUGCAUCUUACUCUGCAUGCAGAACAGACACUCUUCCAGCAGUGCCGCGGAGCUGCAUGUUUGCAUUGUCUUUCAGAUCUGAGGUGAAUAUGAAAUUACUCAUCUUUCUGUUUCACCCACAUGCUUCUACAGCUCUCUCAGUCCUACAGAUUCUACCUCUGAAAC
rnacentral:lncRNA from 1 species